UACGUAGGGCGCAAGCGUUAUCCGGAAUUAUUGGGCGUAAAGAGCUCGUAGGCGGUGUGUCGCGUCGGCCGUGAAAACCUGCAGCUUAACUGUGGGCUUGCGGUCGAUACGGGCAUCACUGGAGUUCGGCAGGGGAGACUGGAAUUCCUGGUGUAGCGGUGAAAUGCGCAGAUAUCAGGAGGAACACCGGUGGCGAAGGCGACCAUCUGGACGGAUACUGACGCUGAGACGCGAAAGCGUGGGUAGCAAACAGG
rnacentral:rRNA from 1 species